GGCGAUGUAGCUCAGUUGGCUAGAGCACCUGGUUCAUACCCAGUAGGUCGGUGGUUCGAAUCCACUCGUCGCUACCA
rnacentral:tRNA from 1 species